UCUCGGUCGGGGCAGCUUUGAAGUUCAAUUUCAAACGGUCGUUGAGAAGAAUCCUUUGCAGACGACUUAAAUAGGUGACGGGGUAUUGUAAGUGGUAGAGUGGCCUUGCUGCCACGAUCCACUGAGAUUCAGCCCUUCGUCGCCUCGAUUCAG
rnacentral:ncRNA from 1 species